rnacentral:sRNA from 1 species
AUGUAAUAUAUAUAAAAGUUUGUAAAUUGUAUUAAUGAUAUUUUUAUUUUAUAGUUUACAAGGAUCACUAAUUCUUUUUGAUGAAGAAGCAUCCAAAGUGAUCAAGAUUAGGGUUCUUCACUACAUGUUUCAGUUUAUUAUGGACAACUCAUGGCAUAUCUAUGUUAGUCCAAAAGCUCUUUGAAAAUUAUUUAUCUACAAAUUUUGAGUUUAGUGAUGCAGAUGCAGGUAAUACUUUCAAAUCAUUCAUGGAUGGAAGAGCGAGCGAGCUUUUGGCAUUGGAGGUCAAAUACUAGAUGAAACUCGAUCAAGAAUGAACCCAGAUUCUCCUGAAGCUCAAGCAUGUCUUAUGAUUGGACCAGAGCCGGAUAUAAGCAACCAGAAUUCCUUCGAGAUAAUAAAGAAGAAUUAGAAGAUAUUGAUAGUGACGUGUCAUCAAUGAGAUCAGAAGAUAGUGAUUAAAGUUUAUUUGUUAUUACUUGUUUUAGUUAGUUUAGUAAACAUCAUUGGGAAUUUAAUGAAAAAAACCCUCAACUUUGGCCAGAUCCAUUUUUAAACCCUAAACUAUGUUUUUAGUAAAACAAACCCUGAACUAAAACCUGUUAAUAAACUUAACCCCACAGUAUUAAAUAUUAAUGGGAUAUUAAUUUCCAAAAAAAACAACAACGAGACAUUUGUAUUUAGCGCAAAAACCACAUGAUGUUCUUUAAAACUGUUUUGAAUUUAUUACAAAAAAAACGUUUAGUGUUCUAAAUGAUUUUGAAUUGCUUAAUUAGUUUGGAUUUUAGAAGCUGAAAGAAAGACACAACAACUUAAAAUAAUCCAAAGAGUCAUGCUUAAAUAAAUCCAACCAACAUAACUAUCGAAGCUGUUGCAACACAACAAUAUUUGUCACAAAAAAAAACAAUCGUUUCAGAGGGACAAGAUAUUCUAAAGUAAAGACUUGUCAAGCAUUAACUUUGAAGAGAAGAUUGUAUUGGUUGAGUGAUAGGGUUCUCUUCAUCCAUUGUUUUCUGUUUUUUCCUUGGUCGUCCUUGAGGUUUCUUGGGUGGUUUUGGCACUGCUUUACGCUUGCAUGAACGUUUGUUGUGUCCGACUUGUUGACAGUUGCUGCAAGUCUAAAUAUGCAAAGAUUAAAUUAAAUAAUUUGAAAAGGAAGAUCUUGUCAAACAUAAUUCAUUGUUCUCUAUUUUACCAUAAUUAUAUCAAUGUUAAGUUUAUUAACAGGUUUAAGUUUAUUACUGUGGGGUUAAGUUUAUUAACAGGUUUUAGUUCAGGGUUUGUUUUACUAAAAACAUAGUUCAGGGUUUAAAAAUGGAUCUGGCCAAAGUUGAGGUUUUUUUUCAUUAAAUUCCCAACAUCAUUAUACCACGGGUUAAUGUUUUAUUCAUAUAUAUAAUAAUAUUAAAUUUUAAAG